rnacentral:lncRNA from 1 species
GGGAAAAUGUGUUUGCUUAAACACUCUGGGCUAUAUUGAAUCCUUAAUGAAAUCAAUAGUUCUGUGCAGAGAUCAAAGAUGAAUGAGAGUCCUGCCUACAUGUUUAAGUUUGAAACUUUUUUGGCUAGAGCAUGGGAUUUGCUGAACUACAUGAUUUCCAAAGACUUGACCUGUGCUUGUCUCAGGAAGAAAACUAUGGGGAAAUCAAGCUUCUCAGAAAUAAGUUUUAAAGUGUGACCUUGGCCAUAUUUAUUUUCACCAUAUAUGGAAUGGAAGAUUACUUCAUAUGAUAGCGGGUAGAAAAAGGCCUGAUCUUCUCAAAGAAAAACUUAUAAAGUCAAAAACUCUGAUUUCCCAUUCUAAGAUGUAACGAUAAAAAUCACCCAACUUUUAAGGGUAGGGGUCAAUGUAAUCUGACUCUUAUAACAGUUAACAAAUGAACUCUGGGUUCCAUAGUUCGGGGCAGGUCUAGAUACUGACAUUAUGAUUUACUUUUCUUGCAAUAAAAAUGCCAGUUUAGGUCA